rnacentral:rRNA from 1 species
GUGGGGAAUUUUGGACAAUGGGCGCAAGCCUGAUCCAGCCAUGCCGCGUGAGUGAAGAAGGCCUUCGGGUUGUAAAGCUCUUUCGGCGGGGAAGAAAUGGCACGCUCUAACAUAGCGUGUUGAUGACGGUACCCGCAUAAGAAGCACCGGCUAACUACGUGCCAGCAGCCGCGGGAAUACGUAGGGUGCGAGCGUUAAUCGGAAUUACUGGGCGUAAAGCGUGCGCAGGCGGUUUCGGAAGACAGAGGUGACAUCCCCGAGCUCAACCUGGGAAUGGCCUUUGUGACUGCGAGGCUAGAGUGUGACAGAGGGGGGUAGAAUUCCACGUGUAGCAGUGAAAUGCGUAGAGAUGUGGAGGAAUACCGAUGGCGAAGGCAGCCCCCUGGGUUACUACUGACGCUCAUGCACGAAAGCGUGGGGAGCAAACAGGAUUAGAUACCCGAGUAGUCC